rnacentral:lncRNA from 1 species
CCACACCAGGCCAAAUAUUCUUUCACUUCCCAUCAGGAUGAUGUACUACAUUCAUUCUUUGAAAACUCCCUUAGCUUCAAACGGUUAGUUAGUAACAAAUCAAUAAAGAAUAAAAAUGUAAAACCAGAAGGAAAAUCUGGGUUCCUAAGCAAGUAAAACCCUUCAAUGGAUAAAAACCCAAAGACUAACUCAGAGCAGUGAACAGGGAUGAAGGCAAUCAGUAGCUAUAUUCCAGGUCUGGAAUCAGGAAGUGAUGGCCAAGAAGUUCCAUUUUCCAGAGGUGGAGGGAGUCUAAGAAGCUCACUCAAUGCAGAGGGACCAGAGCAGGCUAGGGAAGGGCUCCCAUGCUUCUGAAAGGAGGUGGAAGAAAAAGUUCCUUGUCCAUCACUUUAACCUGUUGAUUUUAGCAAGCUAUGGUCUUAGAUACGCAGGGAAACAGACGCAGCCUGGAACCCAGGAACAGAACUAUGCCAGCCACUGACUUUAGGACUAGAUAGGGGCUAUCUCCAAUAUUCUGAAGACAUAUAUGAGAAGACAAAAUUCAAAGCCAGCCAUUCUUUUCAAAUUAACCCAUAAAAUAAAUGCAAGCAUUAUUUUUUUCUAGAACUUGAUAAACUGAUUCUAAAAUAUAUAUAAAGGAGUAAAAGACCAAGAAUUGACAUUAAAAUUUUGAAGAACAAAGAAGAGAAGUAUUUCUAUUAGCUAUCAGAUAUAUGAUAAGACUAAAGUUUGGUGGAAAACGAAUACACCAAUCAACAAGAAGAAAGAGCCCCAAAGCACAAAUAUAUAUAUACACACACAUAUAUGGAAGUUAGAUAUAGGAAAGAAAUAAAACAGUGGGGAAAGGAAACCAGUUGGGGAAGGAAUCACUUAAUUCAAAAAUCAGUCAGUCCCCAGGUUUGGAUUCAACCCUUAAGUGUGAAAAUGAAAACAUAGAAACGUACCUUUAUGACCUCAAGUUUCUUAAAGAAGAUGUCAAAACCACAAGACAUUUAAGAAAAUACAGAAAAAUGUAACUACUUUAAAACAAAAAAACUUCUGUGUAUCAAAAAACACUAUACACUAAAAAUAUAAGCCAUAGAUUAAAAUAAUACAUGUGUGAUGCACAUAAUCUAUGAAAGAUUUGUAUCUAAUAUCUAUAAAGAUCUACACGUUAAGAAAAAUGACAAAACAAUUCAGCAGAAAAAUGUUCCAACUAUGUGAACACGCAAGUGACAGAGGCAGAAACUAGAAAGGUAUGAAAGACGUUCAGCUUCACUUGCAAUCAGGGAAAUGAAAAACUGAGAUUGGUGAAAAAACGCGAAAGCCUGCCGAGCCUUGGCAGGGAUGGUGGAGCAGAUACUCCUGGUCAGCUGGUGAAACAUCAUCUCCAACCUCUGUGCCCUUGGCUGCUCCCUACUAGAGUUUGACCUUCCUUCCGGCUGGAGGAGGACACGAGCCACAGCACUGGGUGUGGAAGUGGGCUGAAGAGCACUGGGAAGCUUUGCCUCUUCUGGCAUCCCUCUCUUCGUCCUCCUCUGAGCAGAGAAGUGAUGUCUCAUAUCACUGCAGCCUUCAUAUAACCUUGGGAGACGAGCAUGAAGGUAAAGCCAAGCUCCUCACAGAGACGCUGCUUCUGACCUGAUCGAUCUGCUCCAGUAGUAGCAGCUGCUUGUCUCCAAAAUGUUACGUGAGAAAAGGCAAACUCUUAUUAAAGAAGUCACUGUGAGUCAGAUGUCCUAUACGUGCAAUGAAGUGCAUUCCUGAUUGAUACAGAUGUAGAGAAAAUGAAACUCCUUUACACUAUCGGUAGGAAACUAAAUAAAAUGUAGUGAUUUUAUAGAGCAAUUGGGCAGUAGGAAUCAGCCAUGUCACUUCUAGGAAUAUACAUGUAAGUUUCACUUUUAGGGAUAUGCAUAGUAUGUGUGGAUGUGUGUAUAUACAGUAUAUGAUGAUGUACACAUGUAGACACAGAAGCAUAUACACACACAUAUAUAUUAUAAAUGCCUAUGUAAAUAUAAAUAUAUAAAGAGGAGAAAAAGAUACAAGAGAAUGUUCAGAGUUAUGAUUUGUAAUCUAAAAAAAUUAGAAACUGACAUGAUCUUCAAUCAGAAAAAGAUAAUUUGAAAUAAUACAUAGCCACUAAAAUAAAUACACUAGAUCUACAUGUCUCAAAGUGAAUUAAACUUAGUAUGAUCUUGAUAUAAAAAGAAAAGUUACAACAUGACAUGUAGAGAAAAUAUCACUUAAGGGCUGGGCGCGGUGGCUCACGCCUGUAAUCCCAGCACUUUGGGAGGCCGAGGUGGGCGGAUCAUGAGGUCAGGAGUUUGAGACCAGCUGGCCAAUAUGGUGAAACCCUGUCUCUACCAAAAAUACAAAAAUUAGCCGGGCAUGGUGGUGCACGCCUGUAGUCCCAGCUACUUGGGAGGCUGAGGCAGAAGAAUCUCUUGAACCCGGGAGGUGGAGGUUGCAGUGAGCCAAGAUUGUGCCACUGCACUCCAGCCUGGGCAAUAUUGAGACUCCAUCUCAAAAAAAAAAAAAAAGAAAAAAGAAAAUACCUCUUAAAUAAUGCUUGAAAACAUGUAAAACAUGAUAUUUUUGCUUUACAUAUAUAUGUAGGAAUAGUAUAAAAAUGUGAGUGGCUAUAAUAAACAUGACAUUUGGAGUGAUGUCCUAGAGAAUGAGGGAAGGGAACUGAGUCUGAGGGGGUUCCAAAGGGGCUUCAAUUACAUCAGAUGUAUUUCAUUUCUGAACCUGCCUUAUCUGCUUAUCAAAAACCAAAACAAGCCCACACGUGGUGGCUCACACCUGUAAUCCCAGCACUUUGGGAGGCUGAGGCAGGAGGACUGCUUGAGGCCAAGAGUUGAAGACCAGCCUGGGCAACAUAGCAAGACCCCUUCUCUAUUAAAAAAAAGCAGAAACAAAUAAAUACGAAAAAAUGCUAAAUUUAUUUAUCUAUAUAAUGUUUUCAGGAUAUAUAUUAUAUUAUUUUGUAUACAUUUCAGUGUGCUCGAUGUAUCUGAUGCUCUUUAAAAAGCUUGCUUUCUAAAAUAUGCAACUAAUUGAUACAAAUGUAUCACAUUCCAUUUGAUAAUUGGGUAAAAGAAAUUAAUGGAUCAUUCGAUAACAUGGAACUACAGAUAAGAAAUCACACAGAAUAAUGCAUAUUUAUUUAAUAAGUGUUUCUAAUAAUAUUAAGAUACUAUUUUAGGCCGUGCUCUGUGCUUUACACCUGUAAUCCCAGCACUUUGGGAGGUCUGGGUGGGAGGAUUGCUUGAAGCCAGAAGUUCUCAAAACCAGCUUGACAACAAAGCAAGGCCCUGUCUCUACAAAAUAAAAAGUAAAAAAUAAAAAACACUAUUUUAUACUUAUCUACUAAAUAAAUAGGAAUUAUAAAAUAUCAGUGCUGUUGUACCUGAGAAUGACAAAUUUUAAAUGUUUUUGAUCACAUUGCCAAUUAUUUUAGUUGUUCUGGGAAAAAAAUGUGAUGAGCUAUGAAAUUACUGGGUAUGAUUUGGCACAAUAAUCUUACUCUCUGGAACAUUCUCCAAGGAAAUAAACAUAUUUAGAAGUUAUUUACUUAAAAAUAUUUAUAGUAAUGCUAUUUAUGAUUGCAAAAACAAAAACGCAGCAGGGAAAAACCCAAAUGACUAAGAAUAGGAGAUGGCAAGCAAAAAGUCAUAUUACAACAGAAGUUUACUGCAGAGCUAUAAAAAUGUCAACUGUGAGGUUCAUGCUGAUGCAUAAAAAUAUGAAAUAAAAUUAAUUUUGUCAAG